CCUACGGGAGGCAGCAGUGAGGAAUAUUGGUCAAUGGACGAGAGUCUGAACCAGCCAAGUAGCGUGAAGGAUGACUGCCCUAUGGGUUGUAAACUUCUUUUAUAAAGGAAUAAAACGAGGCACGUGUGCCUUUUUGCAUGUACUUUAUGAAUAAGGAUCGGCUAACUCCGUGCCAGCAGCCGCGGUAAUACGGAGGAUCCGAGCGUUAUCCGGAUUUAUUGGGUUUAAAGGGAGCGUAGAUGGGUUGUUAAGUCAGUUGUGAAAGUUUGCGGCUCAACCGUAAAAUUGCAAGUGAUACUGGCAGUCGUGAGUACAGUUGAGGUAGGCGGAAUUCGUGGUGUAGCGGUGAAAUGCUUAGAUAUCACGAAGAACCCCGAUUGCGAAGGCAGCUUACUAAACUGUGACUGACAUUGAUGCUCGAAAGUGUGGGUAUCAAACAGGAUUAGAUACCCUAGUAGUC
rnacentral:rRNA from 1 species